rnacentral:misc_RNA from 1 species
GAUGAAGAACGUAGUAAAAUGCGAUAAGUAAUGUGAAUUGCAGAAUUCAGUGAAUCAUCGAAUCUUUGAACGCACAUUGCGCCCGCCAGUAUUCUGGCGGGCAUGCCUGUUCGAGCGUCAUUUCAACCAUCAAGCCCCCGGCUUGUGUUGGGGACCUGCGGCUGCCGCAGGCCCUGAAAACCAGUGGCGGGCUCGCUGUCACACCGAGCGUAGUAGAUUUUCAUCUCGCUCAGGGCGUGCUGCGGGUUCCGGCCGUAAAAAGCCUUAUUUACCCAAGGUUGACCUCGGAUCAGGUAGGAAGACCCGCUGAACUUAAGCAUAUCAAUAAGCGGAGGA